UUGGUUUUAAACCUAAUGAAAUGGGCAGACUGUUUGAAAUCAGAAUAGACUUCUUCGACAGCACAGGUUUAAUGUAACUGAAGACAGGAACCUAAGUGAUACUCUCUGCAUCAGUUUUACGUCAUUUUAUCUGUCGCUAAACAUUGACAAUCAACCCUGAGGAAAGAAUGGUAAGAACAAGGCACGUCCGGCUCACAGAUUGGUGCGACACAGCAGGUUAUACAGUGAAGCAGUAUCAUCGCAAUUUUCAGUGGCCACAAUUUCAGGUACCACUGGCGCAAGAAUAAUGGACAUACAUCUGAGCAGCAGUAGCAGGAGCUCAUAGUGCUGAUUGCCUUCAGGGACUUUGUCUCCAAUCAUGAUGGGAAGACUUCUGAUGAGACACCACAUUUGUGCUGCCUUCUGGCCCAUUCCAUGAUCUGCUAUGCUUCGAAGAGAGGAUUCCAGUGGACAAGAGGGCUUGUUCUUCUGGUCGCUCAGGCCAUAUUGGAAAGACUUUAUGCGUCUCUGCAAGGUGUCACAGGGUUGGUUACUUCGACAUCAUCGUAAUAUAGUUGCAAACGCAACGCAUUUGGAUGGUCUCGGAAUAAGGCAUGCUGUUGGAACUGUUCCCCAUCGUGGUACCCUUCCAUGAUCAAGACACCCAUUCUUCUGCGUUCUUCUGACUGGAUCAAGAACAUAAUGCUUGGAUUAAGAAUAAGCUGUAGUGCACGGGGAAGUGCUGAUGGACGUCGGCCAGUGGUCUUGUCCAAGCAUUUGGAACAAAUCUCUCCAAGAGGCAAGAGGUCUUUUACAUUGAACAUCAGUAACUGUAUCACCUUUCCCAGGGAGUAGACAUCAAUUAUACUUCCAACCAGACCUUUGGAUAGACCCCCAGGAAGAAAAGAAACUUGAAGAGGGUGGAAACCAUGUGACAGUCCAAUCAGGAAAGAAAGCAUGUUGCAACACAUUGACAUUGAUGAAGCGUUUCGAUUUUAAGUUUCAAAAUCAAAACACUCUGUUCAACUUACUGUCCUAGAUAGCUAGAUGUGUGAUUGUUAUCAUAGUCGUCAUUCCGGUAUUAAGUUAUUGUUGUCUUUGUUCAAGGUAUUUUAUCUCGCUUAUAAGUGACAUGUUUUUGAUAAAACUUUUGAAAAUCUGUGUAAAUUGCAUCAUAUUCAAAUCAGUCUACUGAUAUAACUUUCAGACGUGUCAAAGAAUACUAUUUUAUUGCUGUUUUUUGUUGGUCUGCAACUAGCAUCAUACUGUUGAGUGAAUAAAUAAUAAUUUACCAAAUAUACAUUGCGUUGCCUUCAGGAAGUCAUAAGACCUCAGCGAGGCAACUGGCCAAUGUAAAUCUGUGUAAAUUGCAUCAGAUUCAAAUCAGUCUACUGUAAAAGUCAGACCCUUCAAAGUAGAUUAUUUAGUUGCUGUUUUUUGUUGGUACUGUUGAGUGAAUGAAUUACAAUUUACCAAAUGUAUAUUGUGUUGCCUUCAGGAAGUCAGAAGACCUCAGCGAGGCAACUGGCCAAUGUAAAUCUGUGUAAAUUGCAUCAGAUUCAAAUCAGUCUACUGUAAAAGUCAGACCCUUCAAAGUAGAUUAUUUAGUUGAUGUUUUUUGUUGGUACUGUUGAGUGAAUGAAUUACAAUUUACCAAAUGUAUAUUGUGUUGCCUUCAGGAAGUCAUAAGACCUCAGCGAGGCAACUGGCCAAUGUAAAUCUGUGUGAAUUGCAUCAGAUUCAAAUCACUAUACAAAUAUAACUUUCAGACAUGUCAAAGUAUACUAUUUUAUUGCUGUUUUUUGUUGGUCUGCAACUAGCAUCAUACUGUUGAGUGAAUAAAUUACAAUUUACCAAAUAUACAUUGCGUUGCCUUCAGGAAGUCGGAAGACCUCAGCGAGGCAACUGGCCAAUGUAAAUCGGUGUUAAUUGCAUCAGAUUCAAAUCAGUCGCCUGAUACAACAGUCAGAGUCAGACACAUCAAGUAAACUAUUAUUGUUGGGUUUUUUUGACACCCGCUGCAUGUAGUGUAUUGGUUAGUAAAUAAAUAAUUUAGCAAAUAUACAUACUA